UACGUAGGGGGCUAGCGUUGUCCGGAAUCAUUGGGCGUAAAGCGCGUGUAGGCGGUCCGGUAAGUCCGCUGUGAAAGUCGGGGGCUCAACCCUCGAAUGCCGGUGGAUACUGUCGGGCUAGAGUGCGGAAGAGGCGAGUGGAAUUCCCGGUGUAGCGGUGAAAUGCGUAGAGAUUGGGAAGAACACCGGUGGCGAAAGCGCUCUGCUGGGCCGCAACUGACACUAAUGGACGAAAGCUAGGGGAGCGAAUGGG
rnacentral:rRNA from 1 species